rnacentral:rRNA from 1 species
GACGAAUGCUGGCUGCGUGCUUAACACAUGCAAGUCGAACGGUGAAGGGGAGCUUGCUCCCCGGAUCAGUGGCGAACGGGUGAGUAACACGUGGGCAACCUGCCCCUCACUCUGGGAUGACUCCGGGAAACCGGGGCUAAUACCGGAUACGACCGGGAGCGACAUCGCUCCUGGUGGAAAGAACUUCGGUGAGGGAUGGGCCCGCGGCCUAUCAGCUAGUUGGUGGGGUAACGGCCCACCAAGGCGACGACGGGUAGCCGGCCUGAGAGGGCGACCGGCCACACUGGGACUGAGACACGGCCCAGACUCCUACGGGAGGCAGCAGUGGGGAAUAUUGCGCAAUGGGCGAAAGCCUGACGCAGCGACGCAGCGUGAGGGACGAAGGCCUUCGGGUUGUAAACCUCUUUCAGCGGGGACGAAGCGAAAGUGACGGUACCCGCAGAAGAAGCACCGGCUAACUACGUGCCAGCCGCCGCAGUAAUAC